UCUUGCUAGAUGCUGGGUGCUUGGUUGUAUUUUGCAGCUUGCUGGCUGCUGUAGUGGCAGCAAGUUCUCUCGUUGUGGAUUUUGGCCUUUGGACAUUUCUAAGUAUUAAAUAUAGGUAUCAUGAUGUCAUGUAUGGUGAAAAAAAAAUAGUAUGCAUGAUAAUGUGCACAUGCUUACCUGUGCAUAUGAUUAGAAGUAUGCAUACUACAAACUUGGAGGGCUUUAUUCCCUAGGCAGCCGCCCAAGCGCCUAGGCCAUAUAGGGGGUCCACCCACUUGGCUAUACCUAGGCAGCUGGACAACCUUGGUGAUG
rnacentral:lncRNA from 1 species